rnacentral:rRNA from 1 species
CAGAUCAGCAUGCUGCGGUGAAUACGUUCCCGGGCCUUGUACACACCGCCCGUCACACCAUGGGAGUCGGUAACACCCGAAGCCUGUAGUCUAACCGCAAGGAGGACGCAGUCGAAGGUGGGAUUGAUGGCUGGGGUGAAGUCGUAACAAGGUACC